GGACGAACGCUGGCGGCGUGCUUAACACAUGCAAGUCGAACGCUGAAGCCCGCUUCGGUGGGUGGAUGAGUGGCGAACGGGUGAGUAACACGUGGGUAAUCUGCCCUGCACUCUGGGAUAAGCCCUGGAAACGGGGUCUAAUACCGGAUAGGACACAUGGAGGCAUCUCCUGUGUGUGGAAAGUUCCGGCGGUGCAGGUUGAGCCCGCGGCCUAUCAGCUUGUUGGUGGGGUGAUGGCCUACCAAGGCGACGACGGGUAGCCGGCCUGAGAGGGUGACCGGCCACACUGGGACUGAGACACGGCCCAGACUCCUACGGGAGGCAGCAGUGGGGAAUCUUGCGCAAUGGGCGAAAGCCUGACGCAGCAACGCCGCGUGGGGGAUGACGGCCUUCGGGUUGUAAACCUCUUUCGACCGGGACGAAGGGUUUCUGACGGUACCGGUAGAAGAAGCACCGGCUAACUAC
rnacentral:rRNA from 1 species